GACGACCUCUGGCGGCGUGCUUAACACAUGCAAGUCGAACGGAAAGGCCCUGCUUUUGUGGGGUGCUCGAGUGGCGAACGGGUGAGUAACACGUGAGUAACCUGCCCUUGACUUUGGGAUAACUUCAGGAAACUGGGGCUAAUACCGGAUAGGAGCUCCUGCUGCAUGGUGGGGGUUGGAAAGUUUCGGCGGUUGGGGAUGGACUCGCGGCUUAUCAGCUUGUUGGUGGGGUAGUGGCUUACCAAGGCUUUGACGGGUAGCCGGCCUGAGAGGGUGACCGGCCACAUUGGGACUGAGAUACGGCCCAGACUCCUACGGGAGGCAGCAGUGGGGAAUAUUGCACAAUGGGCGGAAGCCUGAUGCAGCAACGCCGCGUGCGGGAUGACGGCCUUCGGGUUGUAAACCGCUUUCGCCUGUGACGAAGCGUGAGUGACGGUAAUGGGUAAAGAAGCACCGGCUAACUACGUGCCAGCAGCCGCGGUGAUACGUAGGGUGCGAGCGUUGUCCGGAUUUAUUGGGCGUAAAGGGCUCGUAGGUGGUUGAUCGCGUCGGAAGUGUAAUCUUGGGGCUUAACCCUGAGCGUGCUUUCGAUACGGGUUGACUUGAGGAAAGUAGGGGAGAAUGGAAUUCCUGGUGGAGCGGUGGAAUGCGCAGAUAUCAGGAGGAACACCAGUGGCGAAGGCGGUUCUCUGGGCCUUUCCUGACGCUGAGGAGCGAAAGCGUGGGGAGCGAACAGGCUUAGAUACCCUGGUAGUCCACGCUGUAAACGGUGGGUACUAGGUGUGGGGUCCAUUCCACGGGUUCCGUGCCGUAGCUAACGCUUUAAGUACCCCGCCUGGGGAGUACGGCCGCAAGGCUAAAACUCAAAGGAAUUGACGGGGCCCCGCACAAGCGGCGGAGCAUGCGGAUUAAUUCGAUGCAACGCGUAGAACCUUACCUGGGUUUGACAUGGAUCGGGAGUGCUCAGAGAUGGGUGUGCCUCUUUUGGGGUCGGUUCACAGGUGGUGCAUGCCUGUCGUCAGCUCGUGUCGUGAGAUGUUGGGUUAAGUCCCGCAACGAGCGCAACCCUUGUUCACUGUUGCCAGCACGUUAUGGUGGGGACUCAGUGGAGACCGCCGGGGUCAACUCGGAGGAAGGUGGGGAUGACGUCAAGUCCUCAUGCCCCUUAUGUCCAGGGCUUCACGCAUGCUACAAUGGCUGGUACAGAGAGUGGCGAGCCUGUGAGGGUGAGCGAAUCUCGGAAAGCCGGUCUCAGUUCGGAUUGGGGUCUGCAACUCGACCUCAUGAAGUCGGAGUCGCUAUAAUCGCAGAAAGGCAACGCUGCGGUAAUCGUUCCCGGGGCU
rnacentral:rRNA from 1 species